rnacentral:lncRNA from 1 species
AUAACCCCUAAAUGCCUUGCUACUGUUUGUCAUAAUUGCUUUCUUUGCCGUGAGCUUGCGAGUACAUUCAAUGUACUCAGCUCGCUUAUCAUGCCAGAUGGAGGAGAAGUCGUGCAAGGCGUUGAUGUCUAUCGGUUUGAUGCUACCUAGGAUCGUGUACGACCAGUGUCCUUGUGGAGUGGAGUCCCACUACUUCGUUGUUCCGCUGCUACAUAAUUUCUUUCCUUAUCAUAGAGCCCCCUGAGUUUUCUACUAAAUAAUGUACAUAGGUGAAGCCGCACCAGAUGUGCCGCUUGGCCUCGCUUAUUAUGUACUAUUCAAAUCUUUGUAUUUGCAGGAGAUUGAUAAAGUGGCUGUUUUCUGUACGAAGUUGUUGUUUGUUGCCAAAAGACUUGAUCUCUCGACUGGCAAUGCAAG